rnacentral:rRNA from 1 species
UGAGGAAUAUUGGACAAUGGAGGCAACUCUGAUCCAGCCAUGCCGCGUGAAGGACUAAGGCCCUAUGGGCUGUAAACUUCUUUAGACGCAGAGCAAUAAGGGCCACGUGUGGUCCGAUGAGAGUAUGCGUAGAAUAAGCAUCGGCUAACUCCGUGCCAGCAGCCGCGGUAAGUACGGGGGAUGCGAGCGUUAUCCGGAUUCAUUGGGUUUAAAGGGUGCGUAGGCGGCUUUGCAAGUCAGUGGUGAAAUGGUGUGGCUCAACCAUAGCAUUGCCGUUGAAACUGAUACCCUUGAGUGCAGUAGAGGUAUGCGGAAUGUGUUGUGUAGCGGUGAAAUGCAUAGAUAUGACACAGAACACCGAUUGCGAAGGCAGCAUACUGGACUGUAACUGACGCUGAAGCACGAAAGCGUGGGGAUCGAACAGGAUUA